CAUGCAGUCGAACGGCAGCACGGGUGCUUGCACCUGGUGGCGAGUGGCGAACGGGUGAGUAAUACAUCGGAACAUGUCCUGUAGUGGGGGAUAGCCCGGCGAAAGCCGGAUUAAUACCGCAUACGAUCUACGGAAGAAAGCGGGGGACCUUCGGGCCUCGCGCUAUAGGGUUGGCCGAUGGCUGAUUAGCUAGUUGGUGGGGUAAAGGCCUACCAAGGCGACGAUCAGUAGCUGGUCUGAGAGGACGACCAGCCACACUGGGACUGAGACACGGCCCAGACUCCUACGGGAGGCAGCAGUGGGGAAUUUUGGACAAUGGGCGAAAGCCUGAUCCAGCAAUGCCGCGUGUGUGAAGAAGGCCUUCGGGUUGUAAAGCACUUUUGUCCGGAAAGAAAUCCUGAGGGCUAAUAUCCUUCGGGGAUGACGGUACCGGAAGAAUAAGCACCGGCUAACUACGUGCCAGCAGCCGCGGUAAUACGUAGGGUGCGAGCGUUAAUCGGAAUUACUGGGCGUAAAGCGUGCGCAGGCGGUUUGCUAAGACCGAUGUGAAAUCCCCGGGCUCAACCUGGGAACUGCAUUGGUGACUGGCAGGCUAGAGUAUGGCAGAGGGGGGGUAGAAUUCCACGUGUAGCAGUGAAAUGCGUAGAGAUGUGGAGGAAUACCGAUGGCGAAGGCAGCCCCCUGGGCCAAUACUGACGCUCAUGCACGAAAGCGUGGGGAGCAA
rnacentral:rRNA from 1 species